rnacentral:rRNA from 1 species
CAGCCGCCGCGGUAACACGUAGGUGGCAAGCGUUGUCCGGAAUUAUUGGGCGUAAAGGGCUCGCAGGCGGUUUCUUAAGUCUGAUGUGAAAGCCCCCGGCUCAACCGGGGAGGGUCAUUGGAAACUGGGAAACUUGAGUGCAGAAGAGGAGAGUGGAAUUCCACGUGUAGCGGUGAAAUGCGUAGAGAUGUGGAGAAACACCAGUGGCGAAGGCGACUCUCUGGUCUGUAACUGACGCUGAGGAGCGAAAGCGUGGGGAGCGAACAGGAUUAGAUACCCGUGUAGUCCCUGUCUCUUAUAA